rnacentral:tRNA from 1 species
UUUUCUUGAACAUUUCUUU